AGCUGGCUAUGAUGACAUUCAAUCAGCUAUGCCAGUUCUGCUUCUGAAAAUUCUUGAUUGAGAAAGCUGUGACAUGUUCUGAGCCGCCC
rfam:Lupinus angustifolius cultivar Tanjil contig_6041, whole genome shotgun sequence.